CCCCUUUCCCAGCGUGCCACAAUAAACCUGCGCAAGGUCGAGGCUCCGCGAGGUCACAGGGCAUCCCCCAUUGUCCCAUACUUCAAAACAGAUAAACAUUUAUUAAUCAGGACUGACCAGAGGCCCCGUUCCACAGAGAAAACAAAGACGAAGGGGAAAAGGGGAGAAAGAAAGACAGAAAGAAAGGAGAGGGAAAACUGGACAGAGCCGUCCAGAUGCAACAGCCAUCAUUAGGCCACACGUGCAAGUUACAAAAGUUGGAAAUGAAACGUAAGAUAUCUUAGAAAUAGAUUCUUUAAGGAAUAACUCGAUGGAGGAAAUUAAAGAACACGGCUUCAGUUUUUCCAAGUGCAAGAUUAAAGAGGCCAGCCGAGCUAUUCUUCCUGCCAGACCUGAGGGCCCGGGGAAGCGAGGGGAACAUUAAUGCACUGCAGUUUGUCAGCACAACACUCACCAAUGAAUUGCAGUCUAUCGACAGGGUCGUGGGGUGCUGGAUCCUAUCCCAGCAUGCAUUGGGAGAGAAGCAGAAAUACACCCUGGGCAGGUCACCGGGCACAACGCACGCUAUGCACUCACACACUGCCUAGGGGCAAUUUAGACCCUCCAGUUAACCUAACCUGCAUGUCUUUGGACUGCGGGAGAAAACCAGAGCACCCAGAGGAAAUUCCACAUAGGAAGGCCCCGGCUGGGAUUUGAACCUGCGACCUUCUUGCUGUGAGGAAAUGUUCCUGUGGGCCUCUGACUAUGAGGCAUUUGUGCCAUGGACUGCUGGUUACAGUAACUGUGAAUGUGGGAGGUACAGUAUAAUAAAAAGCCAAGAAAGUGUUAAU